GGAUGGAUCAUUACUAAAGUAUCCAUCCUACGUUUUGUGAACUGUUUUGACUAUCAUAGUCAGUGUCUGGUGUGCUGUACGGCCAUCGAUGCUGACUACACUGAAUGUAUAUUUAAACUGACUGAGAGUACUAUACUUAUAGUAACCAAUGAGAACUUUUAGCAACGGAUCUCUUGGCUCUCGCAACGAUGAAGAACGCAGCGAAAUGCGAUAGGUAGUGUGAAUUGCAGAUACCGUGAAUCAUCAAAUCUUUGAACGCACAUUGCACUGUCUGGAACUCCGGGCAGUAUACCUGUUUGAGUAUCAGCUACUACUCUCACUAUCAGUUACCUUGGUAGCCUAGUGAGGACUUGAGUUAUCAUGGACUAUCCUCGGAUAGCCUGUGCGACUUUAAAUAGCAGUACCAGCGUCCCUAGGAUCGCUGUUAUCUUGCAGAGUUGAUGGCCUUGUGCCUAAUCCUGUUAGGGUAACUGAUCGUAUACCUAGUGGUUAAUCGUAGCUGGCUUACAAACCAUACAGUGGUCAGUAGUUAACUGAUCGACUGUGACUUUGAUCUCAAAUCAGGUAAGAUUACCCGCUGAACUUAAGCAUAUUAAUAAGCGGAGGAAAAGAAACUAACAAGGAUUCCCCUAGUAAUGGCGAAUGAAGCGGGAACAGCUCAAAUUUAAAAUCUCUUAGGAGAAUUGUAGUUUGUAGAGGUGCUAUCGUUGGCAGCCUGGGUAUAAGUCCCUUGGAACAGGGCAUCAUAGAGGGUGAGAAUCCCGUCUUUGAUCCAGGUACUGUCACACUGUGAUGCACUCUCAAAGAGUCGGGUUGUUUGGGAAUGCAGCCCAAAGUGGGUGGUAUAUUCCAUCUAAAGCUAAAUACAGGCGAGAGACCGAUAGCGAACAAGUACCGUGAGGGAAAGAUGAAAAGAACUUUGAAAAGAGAGUUAAAUAGUACGUGAAAUUGCUAAAAGGGAAACGAUUGAAAUCAGUGUUGGUUGCAGGGAAUCAGCUAGUCAGCAAUGGCUGGUGCACUUCUCUGUAGCCAGGUCAACAUCAGUUUUGGUGAGGUAAAUUAAUGUAGGAAGGUAGCUCCCUCGGGAGUGUUAUAGCCUGCAUGACUGCCUUGACUGAGACUGAGGACUGCAGUGCAUGCUUCGGGCAGACGAACCAGGUGCUGCCGGUUGGCUGGGUAGAGACAGCAUGCUGACUCUGCGCAGUCCGUCGGUACCCGCUUGGCUAGUACUAAUGCGCUAAGGAUGUUGACUAAAUGGUUUUAAACGACCCGUCUUGAAACACGGACCAAGGAGUCUAACAUAUAUGCGAGUGUUUGGGUUGAAAGCCCAUACGCGUAAUGAAAGUGACUAGAUGGGAUCCUCUUGCAGGUGCACCAUCGGCCGGUCUGGACUUUUAAUGAUAGAUCUGAGCUAGAGCACAUAUGUUGGGACCCGAAAGAUGGUGAACUAUACCUGAAUAGGGCGAAGCCAGAGGAAACUCUGGUGGAGGCUCGUAGCGGUACUGACGUGCAAAUCGUUCGUCAAAUUUGGGUAUAGGGGCGAAAGACUAAUCGAACCUUCUAGUAGCUGGUUCCCUC
rnacentral:misc_RNA from 1 species